rnacentral:lncRNA from 1 species
UAGGACUGUGCCAUGUCAUGGAUUCUCAGCACUGGAUAAUUCUGUUUUCGUUGUUUCAUAGAUAAUUUAGGCAUCUCAUUUUCUGUUCUUGACCCUUCUAUUUUUAAUAUACACUUUGCUUCAGAGUACUAGUGAGUACUUUCAGUGCUAUUUAUUAUUAUUAUUAUUUUUUUGCAUGCAAUAACACCUGCCAUGUAAUAUGCUGAGAAUGUUCUCAGCAUUAGAAAAGUAAAGAUGUUCUCUACUUGCACUAAAGGCUGUUUCUUCCUUUCCUACUGUUUUCUGUGACUCUUCCAAAGGAGAGAAGAGAAUGUUAAGAAAGAAAAAUAUGUUGUUUAAUUUUAUUUCUUAUUUGUUAAUUUUUGAAUUGGAAUCAUUUUGGUUUGUUCAGAUCACAUUUUUGUGUCCCACAGAUGAAGAAGGAGUGGAUCUUGGGGCUGGCUCAAUAUUUUUUUUAAAGCUAUUUCUCUCGUGCUGCAUGCAGAGCCCAUCUGCUGUAAUGCGGACUGAAAUGCUGCUUUUAUCCUUGUUUGCGUAG